ACGCAGACGUCCGGGUUUCGUGGCAGGCGAACCGUUUGUAGAACUUGGUUCGUUGUCGACGAAACCUGCACGAUCUGCAA
rnacentral:pre_miRNA from 1 species